ACUACAGAAUUUACAAUGGAUUGGUGCUUCGGGAACUCUGACACAGGUGCUGCAUGGCUGUCGUCAGCUCGUGUCGUGAGAUGUUGGGUUAAGUCCCGUAACGAGCGCAACCCUUGUCCUUAGUUACCAGCAUCGUAAUGGUGGGCACUCUAAGGAGAGCUGCCGGAUGAACAAAGCCGGAGGAANGUGGGGAAUGACCGUCAACGUCAUCAUGGCCCUUACGGCCUGGUGCUACACACGUGCUACAAGUGGUCGAGUACAGAGGGUUGCCAACCCGCGAGGUGGAGCUAAUCUCACAAAACCGAUCGUAUCCGGAUCGCAGUCUGCAACUCGACUGCGUGAAGUCGGAAUCGCUAUAAUCGCGAAUCAAAUGUCGCGGUGAAUACGUUCCCGGGUCUUGUACA
rnacentral:rRNA from 1 species